rnacentral:rRNA from 1 species
AUUGAACGCUGGCGGCAGGCUUAACACAUGCAAGUCGAGCGAGCGGCGGACGGGUGUGUCAUGUCUGGGACCCUGCCUGAUGGAGGGGGAUAACUACUGGAAACGGUAGCUAAUACCGCAUACCAUUAGCUUUGCCCCGAUGGGAUUAGCUAGUAGGUGGGGGAAUGGCUCACCGAGGCGACGAUCCCUAGCUGGUCUGAGAGGAUGACCGGCCACACUGGAACUGAGACACGGUCCAGACUCCUACGGGAGGCAGAAGUGGGGAAUAUUGCACAAUGGGCGCAAGCCUGAUGGAGCCAUGCCGCGUGUGUGAAGAAGGCCUUCGGGUUGUAAAGCACUUUCAGCGGGGAAGCGGUACUCGCAGAAGAAGCACCGGCUAACUCCGUGCCAGCAGCCGCGGUAAUUC